AUGAAUCAUCGCGGAGAAAGGAUAUAUUGGGAGGCGUCCGUUUGUUUGCUCUACUUAUUGUCUUUCGAAGCAAAGGAAAAAAACAAAACAAAAAUCUACUUAUUUUACUGUCUUUUCAAAAAAAAAAUUGGCUUUGGCCAACGAUGGAGGGAUCUUAUCAGCAUCAUCCUUGCCACAUCCUCCUCCAGAGUGCUCCUGAACGGACGGCCGGGCCCCCCUUUCAUGCAUAAGUGUGGAUUGCGACAGGGCGACCCCCUCUCCCCCAUGUUGUUCAUCCUUGCCUUGGAACCACUCCAUUUGCUCCUCUCUAAGGCUACUGAGGCUGGCAUUCUCUCUCCGCUC
rnacentral:rRNA from 1 species